GACGAACGCUGGCGGCGUGCCUAAUACAUGCAAGUCGAGCGGACAGAAGGGAGCUUGCUCCCGGAAGUUAGCGGCGGACGGGUGAGUGACACGUGGGCAACCUACCCUGUAGAUCGGGAUAACAUUGAGAAAUCGGUGCUAAUACCGGAUAAUCAUUUGAAGUGCAUGCUUCGAAUGUAAAAGAUGGCUCCGGCUAUCACUACGGGAUGGGCCCGCGGCGCAUUAGCUAGUUGGUAAGGUAAUGGCUUACCAAGGCAACGAUGCGUAGCCGACCUGAGAGGGUGAUCGGCCACACUGGGACUGAGACACGGCCCAGACUCCUACGGGAGGCAGCAGUAGGGAAUCUUCCGCAAUGGACGAAAGUCUGACGGAGCAACGCCGCGUGAGUGAUGAAGGUUUUCGGAUCGUAAAGCUCUGUUGUUAGGGAAGAACAAGUGCCGUUUGAAUAAGGCGGCACCUUGACGGUACCUACCAGAAAGCCACGGCUAUCUACGUGCCAGCCGCCGCAGUAACAC
rnacentral:rRNA from 1 species